CAUAAAGCCAAGAGACCACCUGGUAUUUUGGCCAAAGAUUUAUCGGUAUGGGAUGGGCCUGCGUCUGAUUAGCUGGUUGGUGGGGUAACGGCCUACCAAGGCAACGAUCAGUAGCCGACCUGAGAGGGUGAUCGGCCACAUUGGAACUGAGACACGGUCCAAACUCCUACGGGAGGCAGCAGUGGGGAAUAUUGCACAAUGGGCGAAAGCGUGAUGCAGCAACGCCGCGUGAGCGAGGAAGGCCUUUGGGUCGUAAAGCUCUGUCGGGAAGGAAGAUAAUGACGGUACUUCCCGAGGAAGCCCCGGCUAACUACGUGCCAGCAGCCGCGGUAAUACGUAGGGGGCGAGCGUUAUCCGGAAUUAUUGGGCGUAAAGAGUGCGUAGGUGGUUUCUUAAGCGUGGGGUGAAGGCCAUUGGCUUAACCAGUGUAAGCCUCGCGAACUGGGGAACUUGAGUGCAGGAGAGGAAAGCGGAAUUCCUAGUGUAGCGGUGAAAUGCGUAGAUAUUAGGAGGAACACCAGUGGCGAAGGCGGCUUUCUGGGCUGUAACUGACACUGAGGCACGAAAGCGUGGGGAGCAAACAGGAUUAGAUACCCUGGUAGUCCACGCCGUAAACGAUGAGCACUAGGUGUCGGGGUCGCAAGAGCUUCGAGCAAGCAAAAAACACCAAAUAAAUGCUCAACCCUGGGGGAGUACGUGCGCAAGCAUGAAACUCAAAGGAAUUGACGGGGACCCGCACAAGCAGCGGAGCAUGUGGUUUAAUUAGAAGCAACGCGAAGAACCUUACCAGGGCUCGACAUCCCUCUGACCGGUCGGUAACGCGGCCUUCCCUUCGGGGCAGAGGAGACAGGUGGUGCAUGGUUGUCGUCAGCUCGUGUCGUGAGAUGUUGGGUUAAGUCCCGCAACGAGCGCAACCCUUGUCAUUAGUUGCCAUCAGGUAAAGCUGGGCACUCUAGUGAGACCGCCGGGGAUAACUCGGAGGAAGGUGGGGAUGACGUCAAAUCAUCAUGCCCCUUAUGUUCUGGGCUACACACGUGCUACAAUGGCCGGUACAGAGAGACGCAAAAUCGCGAGGUGGAGCAAAACUCUAAAACCGGUCUCAGUUCGGAUUGCAGGCUGAAACCCGCCUGCAUGAAGUCGGAGUUGCUAGUAAUCGUGAAUCAGAAUGUCACGGUGAAUGCGUUCCCGGGUCUUGUACUCACCGCCCGUCA
rnacentral:rRNA from 1 species